rnacentral:rRNA from 1 species
AGGAUCAUUAUUGAAAUAAACCUGAUGGGUUGCUGCUGGUUCUCUAGGGAGCAUUGUGCACGCUCGUCAUUUUUAUGUCUCCACCUGUGCAUCUUUUGUAGACCUGGAUGUCUUUCUGAAGCAAUUUGGGAUUUGAGGGUUGAAUGAAAUCUUCCUUCUUUCUUUUUUCAGGUCUAUGUUUUUCCAUAUACCCCAAUGUAUGUUAUAGAAUGUGCAUUAUAAAUGGGCCUUUUUUUGUGUCCAUGUUAUAAAUCUGUACAACUUUCAGCAACGGAUCUCUUGGCUCUCGCAUCGAUGAAGAACGCAGCGAAAUGCGAUAAGUAAUGUGAAUUGCAGAAUUCAGUGAAUCAUCGAAUCUUUGAACGCACCUUGCGCUCCUUGGUAUUCCGAGGAGCAUGCCUGUUUGAGUGUCAUUAAUAUAGUCAACCUCUUUGGUUGGAUUUGGGGGUUGUUGGACUCUUUCUGAGGUCAGCUCCUCUAAAAUGCAUUAGCGAAACAGUCUGUCAAUCGUUCAUUGGUGUGAUAAUUAUCUACGCUAUUGACGUGAGAAGGCAGGUUUUGUUUAGCUUCAUAACAGUCCAUUGACUUGGACAAGAACAAAUUAUUAAUGUGACCUCAAAUCAGGUAGGACUACCCGCUGAACUUAAGCAUAUCAAUAAGCGGAGGAAAAGAAACUAACAAGGAUUCCCUUAGUAACUGCGAGUGAAGCGGGAAAAGCUCAAAUUUAAAAUCUGGCAGUCCUUUGGCUGUCCGAGUUGUAAUCUAGAGAAGUGCUAUCCGCGCUGGACCAUGUACAAGUCUCCUGGAAUGGAGCGUCAUAGAGGGUGAGAAUCCCGUCUUUGACAUGGACUGCCAGGGCUUCUGUGAUGCGCUCUCAAAGAGUCGAGUUGUUUGGGAAUGCAGCUCAAAAUGGGUGGUAAAUUCCAUCUAAAGCUAAAUAUUGGCGAGAGACCGAUAGCGAACAAGUACCGUGAGGGAAAGAUGAAAAGAACUUUGGAAAGAGAGUUAAACAGUACGUGAAAUUGCUGAAAGGGAAACGCUUGAAGUCAGUCACGUCGUCCAGAGAUCAGCCUUGCUUUUGCUUGGUGCACUUUCUGGUUUGACGGGUCAGCAUCAAUUUUGACCAUUGGAAAAAGAUUAGGGGAAUGUGGCAUCUUUGGAUGUGUUAUAGCCCUUGGUUGCAUACAAUGGUUGGGAUUGAGGAACUCAGCACGCCGCAAGGCCGGGUGUUACCACGUACGUG